AGUUCCUUACUGAGACCUAGACAACCAGGUGAGGGGAGUUCCUUACUGAGACCUAGACAACCAGGUGAGGAGAGUUCCUUACUGAGACCUGGACAACCAGGUGAGGAGAGACCUAGACAACCAGGUGAGGAGAGGUCCUUACUGAGACCUAGACAACCAGGUGAGGAGAGUUCCUUACUGAGACCUAGACAACCAGGUGAGGAGAGUUCCUUACUGAGACCUAGACAACCAGGUGAGGAGAGUUCCUUACUGAGACCUAGACAACCAGGUGAGGAGAGUUCCUUACUGAGACCUAGACAACCAGGUGAGGGGAGUUCCUUACUGAGACCUAGACAACCAGGUGAGGAGAGUUCCUUACUGAGACCUAGACAACCAGGUGAGGAGAGGUCCUUACUGAGACCUAGACAACCAG
rnacentral:lncRNA from 1 species